rnacentral:ncRNA from 1 species
GAGAGCCGAGAUACUGUGAAAACGGUACGUCCGGUUCGGGAAGAAGGCUGGGAGAAACGGCCUUGAUCAAGAAAAGGAAAUCCGGUGCUGAGUGACAUUAGCCCCACUCUGUGAACGGAUCACACGCGCUCCCACCUUACUUUCAC